rnacentral:rRNA from 1 species
AACGAACGCUGGCGGCAUGCCUAACACAUGCCAGUCGAACGAGACCUUCGGGGCUAGUGGCGCAAGGGUGCGUAACGCGUGGGAACCUGCCCUUAGGUUCGGAAUAACUCCCCGAAAGGGGUGCUAAUACCGGAUAAUGUCUUCGGACCAAAGAUUUAUCGCCUUUGGAUGGGCCCGCGUUGGAUUAGCUAGUUGGUAGGGUAAAAGCCUACCAAGGCGACGAUCCAUAGCUGGUCUGAGAGGAUGAUCAGCCACACUGGGACUGAGACACGGCCCAGACUCCUACGGGAGGCAGCAGUGGGGAAUAUUGGACAAUGGGCGAAAGCCUGAUCCAGCAAUGCCGCGUGAGUGAUGAAGGCCUUAGGGUUGUAAAGCUCUUUUACCCGGGAUGAUAAUGACAGUACCGGGAGAAUAAGCUCCGGCUAACUCCGUG